GUCCCGGUAGUCUAAUGGGAUGACGUUCCUAGCUUAUUCAUAAAUUGAUGAAUCAAGGAAGGAAUCGGGGUUCAAAUCCUCGCUGGGACA
rnacentral:tRNA from 1 species